rnacentral:rRNA from 1 species
UACGUAGGGGGCAAGCGUUGUCCGGAAUCAUUGGGCGUAAAGAGCGUGUAGGCAGCCUGGUAAGUCCGCUGUGAAAGUCCAGGGCUCAACCCUGGAAUGCCGGUGGAAACUGUCAGGCUCGAGUCCGGAAGAGGCGAGUGGAAUUCCUGGUGUAGCGGUGAAAUGCGCAGAUAUCAGGAGGAACACCAAUGGCGAAGGCAGCUCGCUGGGACGGUACUGACGCUGAGACGCGAAAGCGUGGGGAGCAAACAGG